GCAUGUUUCUUCUCUAGGCAGUGUGUCCUUCCUUGGGCAUGGGACUCCUGCCAAUGAGCCAUGCAGGGGUGACUGACUUUCUCCAUGUAGCCAGAAGUCUCACAUUCACACUACUGAUUUCAAGGCUGGGUCUCCCCUUGUAACAGAGGCUCUCUUGUGCAUCCAGGGUGUUCAACAGUAAGAUAUCUUGACCAAUCCAGAUGCCAAGAGCAUCCCCAGGACCUAGAUACAGCUGAUGUCCCCUGGUGCUUCUGGGUGACAGCCACCAUUUAGAUAUGGUAUGGCUGAUGCCUCCCCUGCUACACUUCCAGGGGGAACUGGUAUGACCUGGGAUCAGGAAUGCUCAGGAAUAAAUGACCCAAGUCUCCAGGCCAGACAUGGAUCCCACCUGUGGCGAAGGUACCUGGCUCCUUGCCCAGAUUCAGCUACUCUGCUUUGAAAAUUAUAGUGUGCUCCUCCAGAAGCUGAGCUUCGAGGACCAGUGUUCAUUCAUCUCUGUUACUCAGCACAAGGAAGAGUGAGCGCAGCGAAAAUCCUUUCUGCUAUGCUGUUGGCAAAUGCCUUCCAAGUUAAUCCAUCAAGUCUCUCCAGUCACUGUGAAGGGUCCAGGCUGUGAAGCAUGCUGGUCAGGACUGCCUUUAUACCCUGCUGGAAGACACUGCGCUAGGAGACGAGUGUUCUCUUCCCUCUGGGCCUGGGAAGCAUAUGUCGAUUCUUUCCAUCAUUUAGAGAAAUGGAGAGUCUGUCUGAAAGGAAUGCCCUGAUGUCAGCCCUUGAUCCAAGUGUGCCUGCAGGCCAGUCCGCCCAGUACUCUUCAGGGAGCCACUGCCACCCUUCAUGAAUCUGAGCUGAAGGGACCUCCUGCCAACUCAAGAGAGGUCGAAAGACAAACAGGGCUUGACUUUAAUCAAGCAAGCUCUUCCACAACCUAGCAGAGUGACUUCAGGCAAGUUGUAUUGGUUACAUUUCUGUGGCUGUGGUAAAACCUUACAACCAAGGUUCUCAACCUUCCUGCUACUGCAACCCUUUAAUACAGU
rnacentral:lncRNA from 1 species